GGGCGGUGACGGGGAUGGGAGGGCCUGGGGACCCGAACCCAGUGCACCUGCUGCAGCCUGGCACUAGGGAUUUGAAAAUCCAUGGAGAUGGAAACCUACGCCGAGGUUAGAAGGCCUGGAUCCACUUUGCAGGGUUUUAAAUAUCCUUCAAGCCUCAGUGCCUGGCAGACUGGACUUUGGACUUCCAGCUCCGAUGCUGGAAAAGGAGGUUUUUUUUUUUUUUUUCCCCACUUUGCUCUCUUGCAUGUCGAAGUUGAGAACAAACGGUGGUUUUGAGGGGCACCAUCUAGGGGUACUCGCUGCUCCAAACCUUGGAACCCGAGGUCUAACCUUGGAAAGAGUUGCCGCCUUACCUUCCUUCUCUCCUCGCCUGGACAAGUCCCAGCUGUGUGCUCUACUGCAGGGUCACAGUGCCGCGGUGCCGAGCUUCUUUCGUGGUCCCUGUCGCCGUCAGUUUCUUGAGAUUUCAGACUCUGGGCUUGGAAACCAGUUGACUGCCUUUCUUAGCGAGGUGCCAUUGGAAACCUGUGGAGAAAUUUUUGGAUUAUGAAUGCUCACCGUGCCGAGGUUCUGAGAGUUCCUGGGGAAUAUGGACGAAAUUUCCCAGAGAGAAGCUGCUUUUUCAAAUUGAACCUUCUGCGAGGAGGCUGAUUAACUGAUGUGGACAGGUUGGAAUGUUGCAAGUUCAGAGCCAACUUAUCUCAGGCCAUCUUUAAUCCCUCCUGACAGUCCUCAGAGCUGUAUGACAGGUGAAAGGAACACCUGGAAUGCACAGAGAACCAGUUUCCCUUUGGAAAAUAUUCAUUUGCUUCCACCAGUCCAAACCCAAAGGUACCAUCAGUAUGUGAGGCCUAGAAUGGGGUUCUCUGAUUUCCUGUAGGUUCUCUCUCCCAACAAUGU
ensembl:lincRNA